CCUCACCAAACUCCUUCGGCUAUCAUCCUCUCUCAGAGUCUAAUCGAGUCCUCUUCGACUACCAACUUCUCUCUGGAUCUCACCAAAUAUGCGCUAGAACCUUACACAACAAUUCCUCUCCCCAGCGAUAUUUUUUUUUAACACUCUGGGGGCCUGUCAGGUUUCAAAUCUGCAACCUCACUUUGAUACCACAUGUUAGGACCGUAGCCCCUAACCAACUUUUCAAAAGAUAAAUGCCCAUUGGGAGG
rnacentral:lncRNA from 1 species